CAGAGGAAAGAUCAGUGUGUGUUUGUUUUCUCAUCAGUGUGAUGAUGUGUGAGAAACUGUGGUCACCGGAUUAAACACCCGACGGACCUGGCGGAUAAACACACACACACACACACACACACACACACACACACUGAACUACUGAGAAAGAUAAAGCUGCAGCAUUUCCUGAGUUCUAGACAUCAGUCUCAUGUUUUAAUAACAGUAAUGGAGGACGUCCAGCGGUAAGAUGAGGAGGGGUCGUGUUUUGUUCGUGCUGUAUGUCAGAAAAAUGGAGCAUUCAUUUCAUCACGGAGACGGAGUUUCCCAACUAACCUGACUUCAGGGAUUCACGUCCACUGACUUCCUGCAGAUGCUUAAAUAAAAGAGUGGCAGAGGCCAAAAACACCUCCACCAGCUCAUAAACCAGUCACAAUCAAUCAAUCAGCAGGUCUGCAUCUUCAGACGGAUGUGUGUUCCUCUGAUGGAGCGUUCAGAGAAAGUGCUUCUCCUUGACCCAGCUUUAUCUUCAUAUCUGACCACCGUCUGAACGCUGGCCUGGAUAAAAGCAAAGGAGCAAACAAAUCCCGGAGGUCUCCAGAAAGCCUGGCUCUGGGUACGGGACGCCUCUUUUGGGCCGCAAACAGAAAACAUCCAACGCCAAAGUCCUGCGAGAUGUUUUCUCCGCGCACAGGAAUUACAGACUGUGGGGAAAUUAACGUAGAGAUCUGGCAGAGAGGAGGGUGCACGGUGAAAUCGCUGCCAAGUCAUCUGAGAUCUGCCGCCUUUUUAUUUUGUGUUUUUUUUUGCUCCGUCCGUGAAAUGCGGAUGAUUUUUUUUGCUCCGUCCGUGAAAUGCGGAUGAUUCCCAGCUCCGCGUUUUGGGCUCCCAGUCAAAUCCCAGCCGUCUUUAUGGAUUCUCCAGAUCUCAUUACAGUCAAUGAGCCUGCAAAGACUUUCAGAUCAAAGUGAAAGUCUUUGAGAGCGAGAGGAAGUCAUUAUUAGAGGCGCGUUAGAGGAAUACCUGAUAAAUAGAGUCUGGUCAACAAAGUUCAGCACAGGGGAAUAAACAACAGGGACGCGCAAAGACAGUCUUUAAUGCGGCUCAAUGAGGAGACAAUUAGCAAUGCUGAGGCUUUAUGAGUCCAUUUCCCACAUCAUUCCCUCACACUAUGAAAAUAAACCUGGAAUAUUUACAUUAAAAAUGUCAACUUUACAGUAAAAAAGACAGCUGUUGCUGCCAGAAUUUCACCAGAAAAUGUGUACAGUAAAUUACCAUAUUUCCUACAUUUACACUGUUAAUAUCUGUCUUUCAGAGAAGCAGCUGGUGCAGUAGGUAGUGCUGUCGCCUCACAGCAAGAAGGUCGCUGGUUCGAGCCUCGGCUGGCUCA